UUCUGAGGAUAGAGCCGCGCGAGCUUCCUCCCGUUCUGCGUCCCUGCGACGUAUGGGCACUGCCCGGGGGCUAUGACCUGUAACCAAAGAAGAGGGAAAAUGCGAGAUAAGCAGCGGCUGGACCAUGAUAACCAGGGAUGCAGGUGAGUAGAUCUCUGGUUUCUCUUUGUUUGGUUCUUGGUUCACUGUUAGCUCAUCAGUACCCAUCAUUCGCUUGUGAUCGACUCAAGCUACAGCCGUAAACAAGUUACUGACCUUUCAGACUGGAUGUUUCAGGUAUGGCUGUUGAUUUGCUUCGUGUUCACAGAAUCCUCUCCACCCUGUUGGAGACAAAGGGGAUAACCGUCACGAGAUAUAUAGAAGGUAGAGGUAAUACCCAGAAAACAACCGAAUUGUUGCUGGAAGCUGGUGAGCAAGAGCUUUUACGCACCUGGGAAGACCCAAUGGACGAGCAGUGCAAACAGGACAGCAAGGACUCGAUUCGGAGAACAAUCGUGGAGCAUGAUAAGGUCUUCAGGCAGCAGGUACGUAGCAAGCAGCACCAUAAUUUGUGAGGUAUAUUUGCACACAUAGACGACGAGAAGCUAACAGACUGCUCCAGUUCUGUAAUAUAUUGUAGCACACUACUACUUAGCUGCGUAAUACCUCCAUCUUUCUAGUGAUAAGUUGACGACCAGUUGUUAGUCAGACCUAAGUUGUCUUGUCAUCCAUGCAACAAGAACUUUUGCAUCUGAUACUGAUACUGCUUCUUUGCAUCAGGUGCAUGAGCUGCAUCGUUUGUACCAUGUACAAAAAACAUUGAUGGCUGAAUGCGAUAGCCAUAGGUAUCAACCGAGAGCAGAAGGAACUCAUGAAGUGGUGCAGGGAUCAAGGUCGAACCUCAAGUGCAGUCCUUCUACCUCAGGGACAAACCAAUCUGCUCUCCUUG
rnacentral:lncRNA from 1 species